GGGCCCAUAGCUCAGCUGGGAGAGCGCCUGCUUCGCAUGUAGGAGGUCAGCGGUUCGAUCCCGCUUGGGUCCA
rnacentral:tRNA from 4 species